GCUCUCGGUGAUACCACCGCUGACACCUGUUCGACUACCCGGUUUCGCAGAUUCCGCCGAUAGAGAAGUUCUUUUCUCGUAUCGUUGUCAGAUCAAGUUAGUCUUUAAUUACGGUCGUGGGAUCUCUGGAACUCGAGACAGAUAAGUGUCCGUCGCAGAAUACGCCUACGUAACUCGGCGUUCUUCUUGAAUUCUCUUCCAUGCAGCUGAAAGGUAGACGAAUAGUCUCGUUCUGAGUAUUUGUGAGAAAAUAGCAACUUUACAGCCAGCCGCCAACAUCAAACGCCUUGAUUGAAAGUAAUAAAGGAAUUUCGCUAUGAGACGAAGCUGUUGCUCAUAAACUACCACGCAAAAUUGAUUUUGACUCAUUUUGAUUCGCGACGUGCGAGUUAAUGAUCGUCCUAUUUAUUUCUUUGGAUAUACGCCUCAUUAAAAUUUACGACAACGACGAUAAUAUGAAUAAGCUUGUGAAAGACGAAGAAUUGAAGUAGAAUCGAUAUUAUAUGCAAAAAUGAUAUUUUAUUACACGUUUACAGAUCGUAUCAGUAGAAAAAUACAUAUAAGAACAUUUUUAACAAUAUCUGCUCGAAAUAAGGAAUACGGAAACUACAGUAUAUAUACUGUUAUAUAUGUACAGACUUGUAUGUAAUUCUUUAUA